GCAUCAAAUAUUUUUGGUUAGUACUAUUUUUCAUUCUAUAAAUGUAUGUGCUAUUUUCUCAAACACUACAUUUGGUGUUUGAUUCUGGUAUAGGCACUGUUAUUUCUUCCUUCUUGAUGGACAGAAAAAGAAGGAAAAGUCUCCAUAUACUGUGUGAAAUUUAUAGACUUGUUUGGAGAUUAUUUGUUCUGUUCUUUUUGUAACCAAUGAGAGCUUAAAGACAGUCACAAUCUCAUAUAGUGGGCACAUUAGCUGGAGGCUUUAUUCUGGAUUAUAUGGUUGUAAUUUGUAAAUGACCUUUCUGAUUAGACAAACAUUUAAAAACUUAACAAUUCUUCAUACUACACAUAGUUUACCAUCUAAUUGCAGUCACUUUGAAGCUACAGACCAACAAUAGUAGACCUUAGCUUAAAAUACAUAUACUAGAAAUCAUUAAAACAUUAGAUUAUUUAGUGUCCUUAUAUUGACCAAUUUAUGUAUGUGUGUAUAUGGUCUUUGAUAUGAAUCUCUCCAAGAAACAACAACAUUGAAUGUUAGAGCAAAUAUAAUUUAUGUGUCUGGCUUUAGAAUGGUUGGCCUGUUAUUUGAAGAUUAACUUAUUUGUCAUUUAUAUGAUGAUUAUUUAUAGAGAGAUUAACAUGUGUGUGAUUUGUGUGAAAAUAUAUUUUGGCAUGUCAAUUCUUUCGGCUCUUAUUUCUAUUACGAAUAGAUGCGGAAACAAAUACUAAGAUAGUACAAACUUACUGUAUUGUUGGCAUGUCAGUCCUUUCAGCUCUUAUUUCCUACUGUUUUUGUAGGGCCAAUGCCACCAUCUCAUCGGAGAUCACUUUAUACUUAGUUUCAAUGAUUAUGUUUUCUUCAAAAAUAUACAACAUUAUCCCUCUUGUUCAAAGUACCAAGACAAGGCUUACAAAGAGAAAGAUUUGUUACUGUCAUUAAGAGAGAAGCUGCUAGAAGAAUUCUCACCGGAUGAUACGUGUAAGAUUGGAUCUUAGUUGACCACGAAUAUUCUCAAGGUGUGUCAUGUGGAUUUCUGAAUGAUUUAUUUUGUUCCAAAACUAUUAACUUUGUAAUCGAUGUUUUCACAUUUUUCAGGAUGGUUCAUUAGUUCAUGAUGAUUUUAUCUAUGAACUAUAUGAAAGUAAAUUAAAACAAACUCCAAUAUUGUCCACGGAGGUCCCUACAUUUUUGAGUGCUAAUCAACGUUUAGAAUUAGUAUGUGACACAUUUAUUGCCCUCAUACAUUUUUGUGUUCAUUGGAUUGCAUUAUAAGCUCUUCUCUUACCAGUGACAGAAAAUUUGGCGCAACACUUUUGAGCACAGGUUUCGACCCAUCUCAUCCUGCUGGAAGGAUUUUUGUAUCGACUUCAUUUGAUACGCCUUACGAGGAUAUGGCUGAUAACUGCGAAGUACUUAUAAUGGGAAAGCACAAUAUGUCUAGAUUGACGAGUACCGUCGAUCAAACACAAGAAAGUUCAGCGAACUCCACUUUACCAACUCACGACAGUGAAUCGAAAACCACAGACUCAUCUCCCCAUGACGAUCUCUUGAAGGUCUCUGAAAACAAGAGAGCAUCAACGUCAAUAUCUUUUAUAUUCCAGCUGCCUUCAUUUUUUCAAGGUCUCUGAAAACAAGAGAGCAUCAACGUCAAUAUCUUUUAUAUUCCAGCACAAGUAUAUUGUGUUAGUUUUCACAUUUAUAUGAAUGCUUGAAACCUACAGAAAGAAGAAGCCAUAGCUAUCAACUCGAAUUUUCGUUAAACUAUUACAUAUAGAUGCUUCACAAACAAGAUGUUAAUUAUGUUUUAGCAUAUUAAAUUAAUUAAUUGAUAGUGCAUUCUGGUAUGAUUGUCACUCAGUACUAAGCAACAUAUUGCAUUUUUAUUGUAUGCUUUAUUUUUUGUUAAUCCACAUGGAACUUUUCCCCUUUGAAAAUUUGAUGUCCCAUUAGUAACUCAUCAGCACUAUGGUCCUUAAUAGUGAUGGAUGCUGAUUUUGUUUUGUAGAUAUUAAAAUUAAGAUCUAAAUAGUUCAAUAAAAUUUAAGUGUUUAUUCUAUUCUUUUUGGAGCUAUUUGUGAUGCCUGCAUAUUAGUUCUCAUAAACUAGUUACAAUUGGUUGCCUUUUGCCUUUAAUUGUAAAUCACUCUGUACCAGAGGAUUUUCCAAUAUAUACUAGUUAUAAUUCAGUAUCCUGUUAAUCUCAAUUUCUCUUUCAUAUUUGUUCUUCAUUUGAUUUUUUGUGUGCAAUCCAAUAAUUGGACAGUUCUUAAGUCAGAAUUUGAUACGGGCAAGAGGUUCAAUUUGAGAGUAUAUUUUUAAAUUUUAGCUUGAGAUUUGCUAUGAUAUUUUUGUGGCGAAUUUGAAGCUAUUUAGUUAGAAAACCUAAAUUGAAGACCGAAUUUAGCUAGAGUUUGGUUGUGAUUUAGCUAGGUAUAUUUAAAUAUUAGCUGGUACUUUGCUAGGAAAUUUUUGUAUAGAUAAUUAGCCACCCAAUCCAUGCUACGGCUUAUAUUGUAGUUAAUCCCAAACAAAUCUCCAACUAACUUGGUUUGAUAGAGAUUAGCUACAAAUUUGUUUCUGUUUCUGUCGUAGCUAAACUCCGAUUUUCUUGUAGUGAAAGAUAGAAUACAUACAAAAUGUGGCUAGUAAGAAGAGAGGCAAAAGAGAGAGCUUGGCAUAAGCCAUAAUGCUUGAAGGAAUAAAAGCUAGUUAGGUUGGAGUUGUGUUGUAUUGUGUUGCAUUAGUUCAUUCUUACAUAUAUUCAUUUAUAGACAAAACUUGUGUGUUGUGCCACAUUUUUCUCCACACAUUAACAAUGCCAAAAAUUAUUAAAUUAUCUUCUUCCCUAGAUGUUCGGAUAAUAAUGUUGCUCCCUUUUUUCUGGGAUUGUAUAGAAUUCUCUAGCAGUAAGUUUUAGCUUGCCGACAGUUUAUCAAUUUGAUAAUAUCUGAAUUAAAGUGGAUUAUUUUUUAAUCAGAAGUUCUGAUUGAAAUCUUUUAGAAAUUAUGAUUCGGUUAUUACUAACGUUUCAUUGUCUAAGUUGAUUCAGAACCUCUUUUAAAGCAAAACAGCUGUAACGUUUUAUCUCGGAUGGUAAACCUGUCUUUACUAUUCAUGGAUAAGCGCGCUUGCAGUUGAAGGGACGCCGACCAUAGGUAACUGUGCUAGUCACCUCAUUUGUCUUUAUUAUCUCUCCUCAUGUCACGUAACAUUAAAUGCUAUCCAUCAUUUGUUUCAUUUUAUUUUCUUUUAAAUACUCUUCAAAUGCUUCUCCUUCCCUCUUAUAUUUUCUCUAUUACACUCUGUCUUUGUUUUCUUUCUCUAUCUCUUUGCAUUCAUAUCAAACCCUAGCUGUUCAUUAUCUGCAAAUCCAUCAUGAACUCUUCAUCAAGCCCAGGAAACCAUGAAAAUGAUCAAAACAAAAAGAGAAAAGCUGUUGAAACAUCUUCUUCCAAACCCAAAAAGAUAAAGAUCACCUAUGACCCUCUCAAGGUGAAUCCAUUCGAAGCAAAGUUGUCUGGAAACUAUUCUAGACGUGUGUUUCAACCCCCUGGUGAAAGCCCUCCAUCAUCUCCAUCUUCUUCCUCAUCUUUUUACCUUCAAGACUCAACUUCCUCUUCAUCUAACCUUUCCUCUCCCUCAACCCAUUCCAAAGAAAUCUCUUCAUUUUCACCUGCUGAGAAUGUUGUCUCUGAUAGAGAUUGUGGAAGAUCUGCAUCAGAAUCAAGUCUCCCUGACCCCUCGCCUGGAAGCCCAAGAAGCAGUCAAUGAUGCGUUUCACUCCUUCAUGGCAAGGAAAACUGCAAAUUAUGACAGGGUUCAAGACAUGCUGGCGCAGAUUUUGUCUUAGCUAGGGUCUUAGUCUUUGGUCUUAGUAGUUUUCUUUCCUUGUUGCAUCUGCUUGUUAAACAUC